GUUAGUUUAAAAAGAAAAAACAGAAUCUGAUAAAUCUUUUAAAAAUUGAAAGAAAAUAAAAAUAAAAAUUGAUUUGAAAAAAUUGUACCAAACUAGAACUAGGAGUGGUUAAUAGUUAUUGGUUGUUUUACAGAAUUUGCGAUGUUGGUGUCACUAAAAUAAAAGAGCAUUUUAGUUCAUAUUUAAAUAUAAAAAAAUAAAAGAUAUUUGUUUAAAUGCAAUUCCAAAUCCAAGAAUACACGAGGAUAAGGUUGGAGUCGUGCAACAAAUGAUGAAAAGAUGAUCCGAUAAUGUUGUGUUUAAUGGAAGCAAGGAUAAAAUUGACUUUGAAGGCCACAAUUAAUAAUGUAAAAGAAUGAUAGCUAUUUUUGGAGAAAAUUUGAAUUGAUUUACAGUUUGCUUUUUCAACAAGUUUUUUUUUUUUUUUUUCUUUCUUUUUCUUUUCGAUCUUCUCCAACAUUAAUUAUAUUAUGCCAUAUGCACUUGUCUCUUUUGCAUUCAUUUCAUAUCAAUUCUCUUUAGAUACAUUGAAUUAUUAUCAUUAUUAUUAUAUUAACUAUUUUUUCUCAACUCUAUUUUUUAAGAAAAGUAUUAAUUAAUUAAUGAUAGGAUACUGAUGAAAUAGGGUGACAAGGCAGGUCAAACUGCCAAACAUUCAUCUAAAAAUCAUAAUCUUAGACAUGGGAUAAAAGCGUAACCGAAGCCCGACAGACCGAACUGCAAUGUCCGAAGUAACAACAAAAGUAGCUUAAAUCCUAAAAACUCAAAACAACUUGUAACGUAAAACUCUACUGUGACGUCACAAGAGGCUAGGCAAGCCACAUUUUCCUACCUAGUAAGUUGUUAAAAUUGCUAAGCUGGAAAGCUUUCUUUUCCCUUCCCUAAGCCACCACAUCCACCGACGUUAAAAGACAAAUCAUAAGAAUGAAUAAUAUCAUUGCCACCCGCCAUGAAUGUCUCAGCUACCGGUUUCUCCGCUCCAUAAAAAGAAUCAUAAGAGUGGAAUCUUCUCCCAUGUUUGAUUGAAGCUGCGGUUCUUGAGAUGGCCCCAAGUCGUAGAAGAGGCGCCAACAAAAUCGCCGCUGCUACUGACCACUACCAAUGUAAGCAGGCCAUUGACGGUGCCGCCUGGCUUACUGUUUCAAAUAGUUUGGCGAGAGUAGCGAGUGGGACGGAUGCGCCAGGUCUGUGUGUGGCAGAGAAGGGUGGUCAAUUGGUGGAGGAGGGUAAGAACGACAUGGUUAUGGUUGAUGGUGAUGAUUAUUGGAAUCGACUUGUAUGAGCCUUCUGUUCAUGUUGGAGUUCUGUUUGGAUUGAAUGAAGUAAUCCUUUGAUUUCAAAAAAAUCUGAAUAUGAUUUUUUAAUUUGAAAUUUAGUUCAUCUGAAUUUUUCUCACAGAGAGAAGGGAGAGUCCAAGUAGAAUCUAGAUUCUAGAGUUAAGGUGGAAAAAAAGAUUUUCAGUUGUAUUUCUUUUAAAAAGGAGUUAUACACGUGUCAUUGCAGUGCCAA